ACGUAAGACGUUUUUUUUUAGUAAAUGGUGUUUUUUUAAUUAACGUUUUAUAAAUUAUACACUUUUAUAAAUUAGUUAUAAAUAAAAAAGCGUAUUAAAUGGCUAGUCCAAGAACAAGAAGAGUUCUAAGAGAUUUGAAGUUUAAAGACGGAAAUAAUGCCUGUUUUGAAUGUAAUAGUCACAAUCCACAAUGGGUCAGUGUAUCAUAUGGUAUAUGGAUCUGCUUAGACUGCUCUGGUAAACAUAGAGGUUUAGGAGUUCAUCUAAGUUUUGUGAGAUCAGUCACAAUGGACAAAUGGAAAGAUAUUGAGUUAGAGAAAAUGAAGGUUGGAGGAAAUGCUAAAGCUAAAGAGUUCUUUCAAAGUCAAUCAGAUUAUAAAGAUGGAAUGUCAUUGACAGAAAAAUACAACAGUCGUGCUGCAGCUCUUUAUAGAGAUAAAAUAAUAACAGAAGCAGAAGGAAAUACAUGGUCUGAGGCAACAUCCAAUGCUCGAAACUAUAAGCCACCUAGUGCUCCAACUAACAAUGGUUUAUUAAAAGGCAGCAAUUCGCUAGGAAGUAAAUCAGCUCCAACUAUAAGCAGUAUGGAUGAUUUAGAAACAUUCCUCGGAAAAUCAAAAGCAGAAAUAUCUAAAGACAAAGAUGAUUACUUUAAGAAAAAACAACAAGAAAACGACUCCAAAUCAGAGAAUUUGCCUCCAAGUCAAGGAGGAAAAUACAUUGGAUUUGGAAGUAGUCCAGCACCAUCUUCUAAAUCUGAAGCAGGUUGGGAUGCUACUUUGGCAACAUUGCAAUCUGGUUUGAGUUCAUUUACUGUCACUGCACAACAGAUGGCUUCUGUUGCGUCAGCAAAGGCUAUCAAACUUGGCUCAAAAGUCAAUGAAAAUUAUAUUAAGCCUGCAUCACAUAAGCUACUUUAUGCUGCAUUUAACUUAACUGACUGUGCACCGAGGAAUGACUAUGACACAAACAUUAACAAUGACUUCAUCAAUCAUUCGGUUCAUCGAGAGCAAGCUGAUUGCUCUAAUAAAUGUGCGAAUGCUAUCAACAAAUCCGGCUCAAGAGCUCACUUUAAAUGUUACAGCCAAGGCUAGUGAUGGACGUUUGGUUCAAGACGUUUCCGGGACAUUGCAGAGCGUUGCAGGAAAAGCACAAGAAUAUGGACUUAAAGGUUGGUAUAAUCUGCAAUCUUAUAUAGGUUACAAUAACUCUGCUAUCACAAAUCAGGGAGAGAAAACAUUUAUUAACUCUGCAAAGUCUCUAACUAAGCAAGAACAUAAUGUUGGGUUUUAUGGUGGAGAUUCGACAAAUAAUGGUGUUA
rnacentral:misc_RNA from 1 species